UUUGUAUUUUAACAGCGUCAAACGGAAUACAUUAGAGAAAUAUAUUUAUAAAAUUAAUUAAACUUAACUAUGAAGAAGAACAAACGUUCCCGGCGGAACUCGAACCAAAAAUACAAUAACCAAAUUUUAUAUGUAGUAUGCUUAUAAAUAUUCUCCAUUUUGCUACUUGUUCGUGUCUGCCGGUCUGUCUCUAUUAUAUCUUCAAAUGUAUCAAUCAGUUUAUCAAUCCAUACGUCCGUUCGCACAUCAAUCCAUUUGUGAAGUCACCAUAUACGUCGAACUCUACAUACAUUUGCAAAUUUUUGUUUUACUUUGUUUUGUUUUUUUGUUGAAUGUUCCAAGUGGUUACAGAGCGACUUCAGAACUUAGAUACUGGAGAACCUAUGAUAACAACCUGCACAUCACGAACUGCACUGUAAUAACGCGGUUUAAUGACGAACAUGUUAUUGUGACAAUAACUUUUCAACUCGAGUGGAAAAGUUACCAAGAACCAGGCGCAACAGGAUUGUUCAAGGAUACAGAAAAUUACUUACUGUAUUACUACCACCACUUAGAUGAUUGCCGACAUCUGUCAAAAAAUGAAACAUUUCAGGAGCUCUAAAGAAUUGUGAAUUUAACUUAAUCAUAAUGCAUCUGAAUGGACAUAUAUUUGAUAUUUGUUCAGUGGUAUUCAGAUGCAGACGUUGGUGCAGAAUACUGUGAUUGUAAUGCUAAGAACUGCUUCAUGAGUAGUUGAUUCAUGAGAUUAUUCCGAAUACAUUUACAGACAUAUGUCAUUUAGUGCAAACAUUUUGUAGUGAGUUACACAGGAUUAUGUCUUCCAUGAUUUAUUUGCAUUAAUAUGCAGAAGAAAAAAACAGUGAUCAUAAGAUGCAUAGUUUUAUUCAAAAUCAGAGACAUUUUCUUACUGUCACCAAGUUGUUACACUUGAAAUUAUUUUCAUGUUAUUUUCUUUGAAAGCAUCGUUUAUAGACAUAUCUUUGGUACUUUAAAAGACAAUGACUUGAAAUUAAAAAUAUUUCUUUAUAAUCAUCAUCUGCGUGUGUGGUUACAAUCACAAUAAUUCUAAUUGUAUUUCUUAGCAGAGUUAUGCCCCUUUCAUACUUAAAAUCAAAAUUAAAAAUAAAGAAUGUCAGUA
rnacentral:lncRNA from 1 species